rnacentral:tRNA from 3 species
AGUUCUGUGGUGUAUAACACGUCGGGUUGCAAACCCGAAGAUGUAGGCUCACGACCUGCCGGGGCUU